rnacentral:rRNA from 1 species
UACGUAGGGGCCUAGCGUUGUCCGGAUUUAUUGGGCGUAAAGAGCUCGUAGGCGGUUCGGUAAGUCAGGUGUGAAAACUUUGGGCUUAACCCAAAGCGUGCAUCCGAUACUGCUGUGACUUGAGUUCGGUAGGGGAGUGGGGAAUUCCUAGUGUAGCGGUGAAAUGCGCAGAUAUUAGGAGGAACACCGGUGGCGAAGGCGCCACUCUGGGCCGAAACUGACGCUGAGGAGCGAAAGCAUGGGUAGCAAACAGG